rnacentral:pre_miRNA from 1 species
AAUAAGUGCAGUCGUAGAUAUUCGUGCUCAACGUUUGACCGUCCGUCUUAUUUGAAAAAUUUGUGAAAAAAUUGAAAAUAUUUAGUCACACAUAAAGUACUAUUCAUGUUUUAUCAUCUAAUAGCAAUAAAAAUACUAAUUAUAAAAAAAAUUAAAUAAGACGAACGGUCAAACGUUGAACGUGAAUAGUGUAAAACUGUACUUAUU